CAGUAGCCGCGGUAAUACGAAGGGUGCAAGCGUUACUCGGAAUUACUGGGCGUAAAGCGUGCGUAGGUGGUGGUUUAAGUCCGUUGUGAAAGCCCUGGGCUCAACCUGGGAAUUGCAGUGGAUACUGGGUCACUAGAGUGUGGUAGAGGAUAGUGGAAUUUCCGGUGUAGCAGUGAAAUGCGUAGAGAUCGGAAGGAACAUCUGUGGCGAAGGCGACUAUCUGGGCCAACACUGACACUGAGGCACGAAAGCGUGGGGAGCAAACAGGAUUAGAGACCCGUGUAGUCCCUGUCUCUUAUAC
rnacentral:rRNA from 1 species